UGCUCCGUGCUUUUAUUUACGACUAGUUAAGACUAAUUAAAUUGAGCUAUUUGGUAUAAAACAAAUAUGGUUGUUUGACAGUCAGUAGAUGUAUAACGUCGAAGUAUGAAUGAAAUUAUUUUCUUUCGAACGAAUUAGUGAAUGA